AGAGUUUGAUCCUGGCUCAGAUUGAACGCUGGCGGCAUGCUUUACACAUGCAAGUCGAACGGCAGCACGGGUGCUUGCACCUGGUGGCGAGUGGCGAACGGGUGAGUAAUGCACCGGAACGUACCCAGUAAUGGGGGAUAACACAUCGAAAGAUGUGCUAAUACCGCAUACGCCCUGAGGGGGAAAGCGGGGGAUCGUAAGACCUCGCGUUAUUGGAGCGGCCGAUGCCGGAUUAGCUAGUUGGUGAGGUAAGAGCUCACCAAGGCGACGAUCCGUAGCUGGUCUGAGAGGACGACCAGCCACACUGGGACUGAGACACGGCCCAGACUCCUACGGGAGGCAGCAGUGGGGAAUUUUGGACAAUGGGCGCAAGCCUGAUCCAGCCAUGCCGCGUGAGUGAAGAAGGCCUUCGGGUUGUAAAGC
rnacentral:rRNA from 1 species